rnacentral:rRNA from 1 species
UAUCAUAUGCGAGUCGAACCAAAACUUCCGACUUAGUGGCGCACGGGUGCGUAACGCGUGGGAAUCUACCCUUGGGUACGGAAUAACUCAGAGAAAUUUGUGCUAAUACCGUAUAAUGACUUCGGUCCAAAGAUUUAUCGCCCAAGGAUGAGCCCGCGUAAGAUUAGCUAGUUGGUGGGGUAAAAGCCUACCAAGGCGACGAUCUUUAGCUGGUCUGAGAGGAUGAUCAGCCACACUGGGACUGAGACACGGCCCAGACUCCUACGGGAGGCAGCAGUGGGGAAUAUUGGACAAUGGGCGAAAGCCUGAUCCAGCAAUGCCGCGUGAGUGAUGAAGGCCCUAGGGUUGUAAAGCUCUUUUACCCGGGAUGAUAAUGACAGUACCGGGAGAAUAAGCUCCGGCUAACUCCGUGCCAGCAGCCGCGGUAAUACGGAGGGAGCUAGCGUUUGUUCGGAAUUACUGGGCGUAAAAGCGCGCGUAGGCGGUUUCCAAGUCAGGGGUGAAAGCCCGGGGCUCAACCCCGGAAUAGCCCCUUGAACUGGA